rnacentral:rRNA from 1 species
AUUGUACGCUGGCGGCGCGCUUAACACAUGCAAGUCGAGCGAAGCGGCGGACGGGUGAGUAACACGUGAGUAACCUGCCUUAGACAUUGGGAUAGCCUAGGGACACCGGGAUUAAUACCAAAUGGUCUAAGCGGGACUCGCGUCCACUUAGCUAGUUGGUGAGGUAAAGGCCCACCAAGGCGACGAUGGGUAGCCGGCCUGAGAGGGUGAAGGGUAACAUUGGAACUGAGAAACGGUAAAAACUUGACGGGAGGCAGCAGUGGGGAAUAUUGCACAAUGGAGGGAACUCUGAGGCAGCGACGCCGCGUGAACGAAGAAGGCUUUCGAGUCUUAAAGUUCUUUUAUAUGGGAAGCGGUACCAUAAGAAAAAGCCCCGGCUAACUACGUGCCAGCAGCCGCGGUAAUAC